ACUCUCUUGCCCAGAAAAUACAGAACAGCCUGAGUCGGAAGGGAACCAUAAGGAUCUUUAAGUCUAAAAUGGAUGAGAGCACAGCAUCCUGAGAAGCAAUGGCUGUCAUAUACUGUGCUGUCCAGCUCACAGAAACAAGUUGCAGAGCCACGUCGUAGAGUCAGAAGGAAACUCUCUAAAAAAACACUUCGUCGUGCUUCCCAGUAUGUAUUCAACAUUCUCCCUUCAGAAGCAGUGUGUUAUCACCUUGCUGCUGGUUCAGCUGAUGCUGUUACUUUCAUUCCCAGAGCUGAUACAGAACAUUUGCAACAUAGCAAAUUGAGCCCAAGACUGAUUUCUUAUUUAAGGUUCAGAGUCUUGAACCCAGAUGCCUGAGCAUCAGUAGAGGGAAAGAAAGCCCAAAUGCAUGGAAUGGGGAGCACCUGGCAGCCAAUGCACAGCAAUCACACUCAAGAAAUCAGAGCAGAUAAGAAGGGUCUGCUCAGGGUUACCUCCCUCAGCAGCUCUGCAGGCAGUGGGGCAUGUCAUACUCAGCCCGUGAGCUUUGCAGGGUGCAGCAUCUCUUCUGAGCUGCUCCUGGAGCACUGCUCCUGCAGGGCCUGCUUUGCUGCCAGGAAGAGGCACCUCACAGUGUGGAUGCAGUGAUAGGCAGAGAGGAGCUUCUGCACAGUAAAAGUGCCCCUCGUCAGCGGGCUCUUAGUUUCAUCAAGGAAAGUCCCUUCCUUGCAGAAGUGCUGAAUAUUCAGGUGUCUUCAGGGACCUUGGGAUCACCUUGCCAUCAGGUAUUUUUGGAAAUAUAGGGGAGAACUGGGUGCCUGGGGAAGCAGGGUUGGCUAUGGCAACUGCAGAAAGAUGCUUUCACCUCAGAGGUGCCUGUGUUUGUAAACUCCUUCCUUGAGGACAGAACACAGUGCUAUCUGUUGCUCUGAUUUGCAGUGUGGUAGCCCUGCUGGUAAGAGAGAAACCUCACAGUCAACCCCCAAGCCAUGGCUUUGCCCUCCAAAGGUGAAGCUCUUGGUCUUGCUGGUAUCCUUAGACCACCCUCCUCUACCUUUCUGCUUAUCUGAGCAAAAGCAAUUUGGAAGGCCCUUUAAGGAUAUGACUUUCCUAACUUGUAGCAGAGGCUGCUCGCUGAAGCUUUCACAUGAGCUGGAAUAGGUUUAACCAAAAAUAUUGUGUGGCUCUCCAAGCCUCUGAUGCAUCUUGAUGGCUCUUCUUCAGAGGGCUCCUAUUGCUCUGACAGCUGAUGGUUGUACAGCUCUUCCCAGGGGUGACCAACCCUCCUCUCUCCUGCAGAGAUGCAUCUCUGAAGCAGUUCUAAGCAAGCACAAUUUGGCAACAAACCACAGCUGGGAGGCAGCUCAGGGAAGAGGAUGGAGGUGGAGGAAGCUUUCCUUCAGCCUGCAUCCAUCCUGACCUCUUCUAAAGCCUAAUGUACCUUAAAAGGCAGGUAGUAAAUUUGACCUCUCCUGCUCUGCUGCAAACUAACAAAUGAUAGUCGUUAUGCAGCUGAUGCAACUUGAAGUUACAAAAAUACCUCCUUACAAACGCUUUCUAUCCCAAUACAAGCAGGACUCUUUCCUAUAAGAGAAGCUGGGAAUCUGAAGUGUGAGCUCUCAGGCCCAAGGAUGGAGCUGGUUGGGAUGUGUGCCUCUGCUACUCUCAUACCAUUUCUAGUCUCAUAGAUGGUGACAGAUACCUCUGCCGGAGUGGCACAGACAGUGUUGUGCUGUGAGUGCUGGCUUGUUUGACUCCACUUCACACUGGGGACAGUGUCAUCCUUUGGCUAGGAAUGAACAUGUUAUUGGGCUUUUAUGUUCUUUUAAAUAACCGGUGUGUGUCUAAUCACCUGAUUAGAAUGAAUGUAAUGGCACCCCCUCGUGGCUUUCAAGCAGAGACAGGCAAAAUUAGAGUGUGUAGUACUGUGCUGCCUGUGGGCGUUGUUCUGCAGAGACUAAGAACAGCUGCCCAACAGAACUGCUGCUGAUGCUGGUAGAAUUGCCUCCAGCAGCUGGAUUGAGAACUGUAGAUCUCUGUGAUGAAGCUGCAAAUGCUUUUGUAUUGACAAUCUGUAGAAACUCUCAUGACACAAAAGUUCAGAGCAGAGCAUUUGUCAACCUCAGACGAGGUACCCUCGUGAACAUCAUGGCUGCUUUUGGAUUAGUAUAGAGAAGUGGCACGUCUUUAACACAGGCAUGGUGUACUCACAAUGGCACAAUGAUGCUGGCUGGAGACAGAUGCUCGUGGUCCAUUCUGGCUUGGUUUUGGAGCUGGAGCACCCGUGUACUCCUGGCAUGUGGAAGAAGUCCCAGCUGCCUGAUAAUUGGAAUGUUCCUUGGCUACAAAUGUUGAAAACUUGCAUGUAUCAGAGAUUAACUGAGAAUAAUUUUGCCUGUUCUUUACCUCCUCUGUCCUCUCCAGGUUUGAAAGGCUCGCUAACAAGCUAACAAAAAGAAUAACAGCCUAGAAAUGCAAGGGUUUUCCUUACUUGCCUCGCUAACGCGUUAUGUCUGUAAUGAUGCUGUAGCCAGAAAUUACUCCCCAUUUGUAUGCUUACUCCUGUGUCUGAAAACUUCCCCAUGCAGGAGGUUAUGCUCUGCUGUGGUUUAAUGCCCUGGUCUGGCUGCUCGCUGCAGACCUACUCUGCGCUGGUUUCUACUGAGACACUGAAGAAAACAGACUGCCCCUCUUGCUGAUGCUGCACAACGUUUGAGGACUUGCGGUCACUGAGGAUGUGAGUGUAACAAACCAGAGGACAGCUGCAGAGAUUUGUGUUUUCUUCCCUUGCCAGGAAAAGGUGCCUGGAGUGCAAAAACACCUAAGGCCUUCCUGGAGAAAGCUCUAUGGAGUAGAAGCACUGUAGAUGAGUGAUAUUUCUUCAACCAUCUGCUCCUUCCGCACUCACACGAGGGCAGGCCAGCUCCAUGUGAGUGCAGUGAUAGGUGAGCCUCGCUGGAAGCUGCAGGAAGUUUUUAAUUUUCUCUUCUUGUUCCUUGGUGUCAGACAAUGAUCUUCACAUCAGCACACCAAAGGAAAUAAUUUAAACAUAAUUAACUUGAGCUAACGCUGAAACUCCUGGGAGCAGCGUGGUGUUAACUGUUCAGAGAUUUUUAACUUGCUUUUUAUCAGGAAUAUGAGAAUACUGUUUGAAUUAAGACUUCUUAAUUAAACGUGACCUGGGUGACACUGUGUUCUUAAUUAAACGUGACCUAGGUGACCGUUCAGUUAUUAACACUGUGUUCGCUUACACUGUGGCUCUGAUACGCUCUUAAAGAGGGAACUCCUCAACCAUCAUUUCACCGGGGGCCGACACAGCAACUUGUGUUUAUAAAUGCUGUGCAACUUUUCUGUCCCUUCCUUCCUUCCAUCCUUCCUUUCUUUCUUGCCAGACCUGUGCAGAAACCUCUUUAGGAAACGCUGUUUUUCCUCCUGUAAGACCAGUGGAAGGAGGAACUUAAGUCCCAGGAAGGAAAGGAGCAAAGCUGGGCUGCACACCUGGCAUUUCUCUGCUGUGCUGGUUAAUUCAGCCUGGACUUUCAAGCAAUUCCAUGGUGGGGCAUAAGGUCUGUAGAGUCUGUUGGCAGAAAAAUGCCUGACUAUCUAGUGUUGAACCAACCAACGCCUUCUGAGGAAGCCACCUAAUGCUCUGUCCAAGACAUCAGUGUGCAUUCACAGACCAAAAAAAGGAGAUGUGAGGGACAGAUGAUACGUUACCAGAAUUAGCCAUUGCCACACCGAGUACGCAUCAGACGCAAGACUUGCCUCAGUUCAACAACCUGAAAUUCAAGUUCCCUAUUCCAGGCUCACAUGCCUUCUAAUGAUAGCGUGUUCGUGUCUCCUUCAGCUUUGGGCAUGACCUUUCUGAGCUGGCUGCUUCUGUUUCUCACCUGUACAUUGAGCCAAAAAACAGCCGCCUCUGAAUUUUAGGAGGGGGUGUAAGGGACAGAGCAGAUGAAAGAUUUUCUGUAUUCAGUGAUAUGACCCUGAAUGAAUGCAGUUGAGCAAGCUGGCCAACUCAGAUGAGCACUAUUUUGUACUGCUCAUGUUUACCAGCGUACUGUGCCUGGGUCCAAGAGCAAGCCUACAACGCUGCUAUGGUGAAGCUGGCCAGCCUACUUUAACCUACUCAGACACGCCAUCUAAACAAAACACUCCCUCUCCAAAAACUUCGUGCUCCUCUCUGCCCUCUUGCAAGCCCUCUUGCUGCAAUCCUUUCCUGUGCUGCCUCUGGGGUGCAAUGGCUCUUGCUCCAAAUCGUUACUUCUAUGUGGAAGAUGGCCAAGCUGAAGUGGUGGGGCAGGCUGUGCCACCUGCUGCAGAGAGCUCCCCAGCUGUGGUGUGUUAGAUCCUGCUGUUGAAAUGCUCCUGGGCAGGCUGCUCUGAAAACACCUGGGGGGUUACCAGCUGAGACCAAAGAGGCAGAAUGGGCUGGAGGAAUGCAGUUCUGACAGUAAGUUAAAGCCUAAGUGGGUUGGGCCUGCGCUUACCUUUAGGAUGAUGAGAAGAGGGUGCUGAGGUGCUGCUGGGGCAGAAUGGGGGUGUUUUGGUGUGCAGAGGGCCAUGUUGGCACCAUCCUGAAAACAAUGAGCAAGCCCUGCUCUGAGGCUGCUUUACAAAUGGCUGCUGGUGGUCAUAGGACAUCUGGGAACGACGUGAAAACUGCAGAUGGUGGAAAUGUGGUAUGUGGGAACGCUGUGAAUUGUUCAGUCAGCAUCUAGGAAUAAAGAUACAAAACUUCUACAAUUAGAGAUCCUCCUCGGGAAGGAGUUUGCCAUCAGUGCACACCAGAGCUAAGCUCUUUCAAAAAAUGUCACCUCUAUUUUUGGAUGGGGGGAUUGAAUCAACUUCCAGUGUAAGGGAAAUCUGGUUACAGGCUUGUGCAGCAGAGAAAAGGGAGUGGCAUGGCAUUGGCAGGUCACGUAGUCCAGUUCUGUACAUCAGGUACAACGAUACCAUGAAGUAUGAUUUUGACACAGGAAUCUCACCUUGAAUUUAUGUUCUGUUUUACUACUGGAAAAUGAACCAUGACUGUUAAUUAAGGACUGUUUCCAGGUUAAGUUUGCACUGUUUCUAAUUGUUCAGGUCCUCCACAUUUAAUCCAGUAUUGCCAUUCUAGCACAGAUUUGGUCCUUAGUAUGAGUUAUGCUGUGUCUUCAUGAUGUGCUGCUAUGUUUUAGCCCUGGCGCUAAGUUUAAAUGUCUUUCAGUUUUCCUUUGUGCUGGUCCUUUUAGCAGAACCCGGAGCAAGGGCCAUCUAUAUGAGAAUCUUAUCCUUCAAGCUGUAAUCAGGUAUGUUUGAGAAGGAGCUGUGAUGCCCAGGUAACAAGCCAAGAGCUGCUGCUUUCCUCCUGCAAAUGGAGAUGGUCAUUGUUACGUAUUUGAAGUAGCGUAUGUUCAUGUACAGGCACAGUGUUGUUGGCAGAUAAUUAUCAGUCUGCAUAAAUAAGAAGUUAAAUGGAACAAGGAGAGCACGAUGCAAAUUGUCAUUAAAUCUGUUCCCCAGCUCUGUAAUGGAGGUUGUGUGGGUACGCUGAGUGACGAUUGUAGGCUGCUAGCUACAUUGCUCUGCAGAGUGAUUUGGGGUCACAAUGAAAUCACACUGAAUUGUUUAAGUUGGGCCCAGAGAAUAACACACGCAGCCAUUCAAAAAACACUAAGAAACUUCUGGUUACAGAUGGCACAAAUGGUGUUUUGUUAUGCUUGAGACAACACAAACGUACAUCUAUGACAAUUCCACAUUUCUAGAUGCUCACUGGAUGCCGUCCAUACUUUAACUUCUAUUUUUCCAAUGUUCUUGAUAUGCAAACUCCUUAAGAGCGUUCCAGGAGAGAUGUGGAUGCUGUACCUUUGAUUUAAGCCUUCUGACAAGCCUUGGAUGCUCCUCCCUUGCCUCUCAUGUGGAUUCCUAACAGGCAGCCCAUAGCCACCUAGCAAUCUACAAUGUAAAAUUAUCACCAUCUACUACUCCAAUAGCCAAAGGCCCAGGUAAUAUGAAUACUUUGGCCUACUCACCCUAAGUGCUGUCUUUUUUCUUUUUUUUUCUACUUGGAGACUGAGGGUUUGUAGAAAAUAAUUUUCUGUUUGGAAGGAAGUGCUCCUUCAAUACUGCAACUUGAAGGGAGAUUGACAACAUAGCUUGCGGUUACCAGGGCUGCCACAGGCACUGACAAGAUUUGUCACUGUUUCUGAAAACUCUCCUUAUAUGACAUGGCUAAUAAUAUUAGAAAAGCUUCAAGUUAUGUCAUUUGUUCAUGGGCAGGGGACUGUCAAAGAAAUUACAACUUCUCCACAGGAAGCUAUGCAUGCAUCUAAAUGCUCCAGACUUGCUCUGUGUAUCCACAAGCAAUUCUGGUGAUGUUGAAGAGGAAGCAACUCCAAGUUCUUGCAGUGCAACAGCAGUAAUAGAAGGACUGAGUUCCACAAGAACAUAGUUUUAUAAGAUGAAAUGUAUAUAGCAUGGCAGUAAAUAAACUAAGGCUAGGAAUUAAGUGGAAGAAGGAUCUUAGCAUGUAAACCAUGCAUUUUUGGAACAGCUUUUAGUAGUGACAUAACCUUCUCAUAACUCCUCGAGUUAUUAUUAUUUAAUAUUUAUGAAGAAUUUAAGUAAUUAAUCUGCCCCAAAUGGUAGGCAGGAGUGUGCACAUGCCUGGCCAGUGGGUUUCAGUUGUAGUCUGCAGUUAUGCACCACAAAAUCUGUGAUGGCAAAAUAUCCGUUUGCUUGUACCAAUAGCUCCCAUGAAGAGGAGUUCUGAGUUUGUGCCCUGAUUGAUCAGGUGCUAUAGAUGAAGUGGGAGAGUACAUAUUAUGGCAGGUGUUGUAAGAAAGGCCCUUUAGUAAUAGCUUCAGAAAUCUCUUUUCUUAGGCCGUGAACACCUUCCUUUUCCUGGAUGCUAUGCAGAAGUGCACAAGAAGUGGUUUGGAAGAGUUUGAUGUGCUAUAGGUUACUCAGUGAACUUGAAGGCAUUCCAGGAGUAGAGCAUCUUCCUGGGAAGCAGAGGGUGGUGUGGGAGCUUGUUUUUUGGGAGGUGUGUGGCAGGCCUGUGGUUUUGUAACUGCUGUGUUCCAAAAAUGGUGCUUUUAUAAAUAAAUAACACAACCUGUUUCACAUGGCUUUCUUCCAGUGGGAAGCUGCCCUGCGGACCUUGGGAUUUUUCUAUUCCUAGUCAAGGGAGAAACAAAUGUAAGUACACAGAAAGAGCAUCUUUAUUUCUGCUAUGUCGAGAAUUGAGAAGUACGUGUUUUGUUUUAUUUGAUCAGUUACUUCAGCCUCCCUAAGCUGCCAUCGUGGCUCUCUGUGAAAGCCUGUGAAAAUAAAAAUAUCACAGACAAAAAUAACAGUCCCUCGUUCUAAGUGUGGAGUGUCUCAGUGCGUAUUUGGCACAUCCUCUGAGGCUGUAUCAACAGCAAGUAGAAACAAGCUGCUGUAAAGAGCGAGUCAGAGAGAGGAAUAGCGCUUGGUGUCCUGUCCUGUGUCUGCCAGGACUUCUGACAUGAAUCACAGAAUCGUUAUGGUUGGAAGAGACCACUAUGAUCAUCUAGUCCAACCAUCCAACCACCCGUCCCCACCAUGACCACAAACUAUGUCCCACAGUGCUGCAACUGUUCUUUGUAGAGAUAUAUUCCAAGGGAUAUCGGAAGUUAUAACAGUUUCUCUUCUGAGCAGACCACCACCCAGCACACCUCCCAGGCUGCGUGCUUUGCUAUAUGGUGUAUGAUUUCACAAGAGCCUUCCAUAAGCUGUACGGAGCAGUGACACCUUUAACAACCAUAAAGACUGCCGGGGCACCAGCAGCAUUUAGGUGGCUGUAAAUGAUGCACACCACCACGAGAAACGUUUCUUUCCCUGAGGCACCAGAUGGCAGCAUUUUUCCUCUCUGAAAGUGUGAUCCCUUCUCAGAUUCACUUUCUGGGACCACCACAUAGGGCUGCGCGGCUGCGGAGGCCACAAAGGCCUCAACUGAACCGGACCUUCUCUGUCAUCGCCUGCUUUGUGGGAACCCUUCAGUCACACAUCCCUAAACCCUACGUUUUCCCCUCACUCUCAUGUCCUUGCUCAUAAAUGCAGUGCUGCUUUACCACUGCUUUUUGUCACAGGAAAAGAAAAGAGAGAAAAUCAUCCAUGUCAGCUGCAGCAAGCUCUGUUCCUAAGGCACUCACCUUUGGCCUGCAGCGCUAUGGGACAAAUGUGUUUGCACGAGUUGUAUGACUUACGGCUUCGGUGGACAGCAGAAGAAAGGCUGUUUAUGCACAAAAGGGAUGGGUUGGCCCUGGGGGCUGAGGGAGGAGCAGCUCUGGCUUUCUUUUUCUUUUCUUUCUUUCUUUCUUUUUUUUUGCUGUCUGCUUUACUCUGUGGUGAUGUGGUGUAUCUGCUGUGGUUAGUUGCUGUGUCACUGCUUUACAGAUGCUAUGAGCUCACCAGUGGACAAUUUGUGGGUUCUUUAACUUCUGACGAGCAGCCAGUUGUUUUUCUAAAGAGCAUGUGACGAGGGAUUUUCUAAUUUUUCAGCUUUCAGCCAAAUUCAGUGGGAGUGCCAUAGGACAGGGAAGUGGUGGUGGACCCUUCUCAACUCCACCCUUCUUACUUAAUACCAAAAACUUAUCUAUAAACAGGCAAGAGGGAGGGAAGAGCGUUCCUCAAAGCGAGCCAAAAGAAUCCUGUACAAUGACAACGUUAAACUGAGAUUUGUGGAAAACAGUGCUAUUUUCUUUGGUUAAAAAUAUUCUAAUGAAAAAAAGCCCUCAAUGUUUUUUCGCUUUCUCGUGCCAGUUUCUUUCCAGUUUUGGAUUUGUCUGCCCAUUGGUUUCAGUUACAUCAUGCGAACAAGACGGACUCAGCUUUACUGCCCAAGAUAGGCAAUAUGUGUGCAGUAGAAAUACACUGGAAAUUCACCUGAAAGCUGAGUAGAAUUUCAUCACUUCAAGUCAAUCGUACAGAUAUUAUCUUCCUUUUAAAUAAAGAGGGAUAAUAUUUUUAAAUGCACCUCCACAGCUUAUAAUGAUCAGUGCGAUUCCUUAUGUGCACUUGCUUUACAAAGUGGAAGAAAACACCCAUUUUUUGUCUAAUUAUAGUUCUGGAGUUGCUAACUAGCACCUUCUCUGAGAAACAGUUGCCUGUGAUGAGCUUUGCAAGAAGAGAGAUGUUGAGGUGGUUUAAAAAAUAAAAUAAAAAAAGCAUCUGAUAUCUAUCAGUAUGGAUUAUUACAGCUUGCCAUUAUUUAGUUUGGAACUGUGACAACUGACCAAAACAUAGAGACUAUGAAUAGGAAUGCAAGGAGUGAUUAAGUGCAUGUGAGAGAGGAAAAAAAAAAUAAAGCAAUACAGUUUGGCACGCAGCAAAUGUUAGAUCUGGUGUACAGCUGUCUGUGCAAUUCCCACUGCUCUCUUGGAGGAUUUCUGCGAUUUCCCACUAAGGUAUCUCUGCUGAUAGAGACUUAGAAACGGCUCCAUCUCUGUAAGCUUUGAUUCUUAGUACAGCUGGUAAGAUAGAUGUGUUAAUCCUUUACAUAUGAAAGAUGCAAGUAUCCUCCUACACAUACAUUACAGAGAGAAGAUUUGUUUGUUUUAUGAUGGGUAACUGCUAUGUACUGUUCGCUGUCUCUAUCUUGCAUAGUAAGUGAAAUUACUGUUGAAACAAGCUGAUCAAAUCUGAGAUUCCCCUUGCUGCAGUCCGGAAUGAAAAUGUACCCAAGAGGGACAAAUUCUGUCUGGUAGUACAUAGAGCUUUUUGGCUUCUAGACUGCCACGGCAUACUGAUGAAGAAGGUACUCUUAAAUAAAGAAGAUCUGGCUUGCAGGGAAACAUGCAUCUACAAUUCCUAUGGAAUGAGAUGUGGUUCUUGGUGGUUUUGUAGUGCCAACGGCUGCUCUACCAACUUUCACCUUGGCCUUCCCUGAAAGGGGGAGAAUUGGUUCAGCCUGGUACAGACACAGGGAUGCUUUUCCUUGUGUGUAUCCAUUAUUCCAUGAUGUAUACAAUAUACGGGGAGUGUCGUUAAAAGGAAGACAUUGCAAACAAAUCGGUAGUGUCAUAUUCUGAUCCUCAUUUUCUAUUCAGUAGCAUUUCUCAUAUGGCCUCGGCCAACCCUAUUUCUCACAGAAAGCGGUGGCUGUUAUUACUGUUUGCAUACGGUGUGGAAUAAGGAGGCUGGGAGGAAUGGUUGCGCAGAGAGAAUCUGGUUGGGAAAGAGGUUAAAAAGCCCCAAAAGUGAGUGAAAGUAGACAAAAGUAGACAAGACAUUAUACAUAUGACAUAAAGUCCCCUUUUUUGCAGGUACAGAAUGCUGAGUGUUUAAGAGCUGGUACUGAUUGUACUACAGUUGUUGUACGAGGGCUGUAACUGGUAUACCAUGCAUAAUUUCUCUCGUGGUGCUUAUUGUUCAUUGGUUAUCCUGCACAGAAACAAUACAGGCACUGUAACAGACCCAUGGGCUGCAUUCCAACACAAGUCAUUAGCUCAGGCAGGUCUCCUGAAUUGGUCUAAAUGUUGCUCC